GAACGACUCUCGGCAACGGAUAUCUCGGCUCUUGCAUCGAUGAAGAACGUAGCGAAAUGCGAUACUUGGUGUGAAUUGCAGAAUCCCGUGAACCAUCGAGUCUUUGAACGCAAGUUGCGCCCGAAGCCAUUAGGCCGAGGGCACGCCUGCCUGGGCGUCACAC
rnacentral:rRNA from 1 species